GGCGACCAAAGCUACCGCCUUGUAUUUUAAAUUUCCAAAUGUAAAAAGAAGCUAACUGUAAUUAAAUUUAUUUCAGUCUAUUUACCAUGUCAAAUUUUUUUGAUGGUACAACAAAGCUUUUCUUAUGCUAUAUUGAGCAUACGUUUUAAUUUUUGAAGUCUACUGUAGUCGCCUUGUGAGUUCGCGCCAAACAUCAACAACAGCCUAAUCGACUCGUCACAUCUCUACUUCACUGACUAAAUUUGGUACCAUGGCUGCAUUAGAAGAAAUCAUAGAUGAAGAAAUGUAUGAAAUGGAAGAAUUGCGACGAGUGAGGAUUCCACGCAUAUAUAAGAUCUUAUGGUGUAUAAAGUAGGUAUUGCAAAGUACAAAUAGUAUGUAAGAAUGAAUAAACUUAACCAUCUACU